rnacentral:tRNA from 1 species
GUUGGCGUAGCUAAUCAAAGCAU